CCAGGGAAAAAGUUAUUGAUUGUACCUGGAGAAUAAGAGGUUGCUAAACUCGUGCCAGCAGCAGCGGUAAUACGAGUGCCUCAAGCGUUAUCCGGAAUUAUUGGGCGUAAAGGGUGCGUAGGUGGUGAUGUUAGUCUCUUGUUAAAUCUCCCGGCUCAACCGGGAACUUGCGGGGGAAACGGCAUUACUUCGAGGACGGAAGGGGUCUUUGGAACUCAUGGUGUAGCGGUGAAAUGCGUUGAUAUCAU
rnacentral:rRNA from 1 species